rnacentral:rRNA from 1 species
UACGGGGGGGGCAAGCGUUGUUCGGAAUUACUGGGCGUAAAGGGCUCGUAGGUGGCCAACUAAGUCAGACGUGAAAUCCCUCGGCUUAACCGGGGAACUGCGUCUGAUACUGGAUGGCUUGAGUUUGGGAGAGGGAUGCGGAAUUCCAGGUGUAGCGGUGAAAUGCGUAGAUAUCGUAAGGAAGACCAGUGGCGAAGGCGGGUCUCUGGACAGUUCCUGACGCUGAGGCACGAAGGCUAGGGGAGCAAACGGG